UUCUCCCUGGAGACACACAAAGGCCAACGGGGACACACAAACGUUUGUACUGCUGCUAUAUUUCAGACACCACCAAUAGGUCUAUAUCUGGCCUUGUACCAUUCUAUAUCAAUAGGUCUAUAUCUGGCCUUGUACCAUUCUAUAUCAAUAGGUCUAUAUCUGGCCUUGUACCAUUCUAUAUCAAUAGGUCUAUAUCUGGCCUUGUACCAUUCUAUAUCAAUAGGUCUAUAUCUGGCCUCGUACCAUUCUAUAUCAAUAGGUCUAUAUCUGGCCUUGUACCAUUCUAUAUCAAUAGGUCUAUAUCUGGCCUUGUACCAUUCUAUAUCAAUAGGUCUAUAUCUGGCCUUGUACCAUUCUAUAUCAAUAGGUCUAUAUCUGGCCUUGUACCAUUCUAUAUCAAUAGGUCUAUAUCUGGCCUCGUACCAUUCUAUAUCAAUAGGUCUAUAUCUGGCCUCGUACCAUUCUAUAUCAAUAGGUCUAUAUCUGGCCUCGUACCAUUCUAUAUCAAUAGGUCUAUAUCUGGCCUCGUACCAUUCUAUAUCAAUAGGUCUAUAUCUGGCCUCGUACCAUUCUAUAUCAAUAGGUCUAUAUCUGGCCUCGUACCAUUCUAUAUCAAUAGGUCUAUAUCUGGCCUCGUACCAUUCUAUAUCAAUAGGUCUAUAUCUGGCCUCGUACCAUUCACAGUUCACACUCCUCACUAGUGUAUUUUCAGUCAUCCUGACUCUGUCCACAUGGGGCCAUGUUUACUAAGCGUUUGCACCAGGUACCGACCCUAACAGUGUUUCCUGGUAGAAGCACUGACUUGUGUUCUUUUUAGAUCUGCUAACACUGAAGGCAUAACAUUCAGGUCAGGGUCAUGUUCAUUAGGCUAUACAACUGAAAAUGUUUUGCAACAGAACACAAAAACAAGCAUUUGUUAUUGAUCCCUCCCUGUUUCAGUCCAUUUCCUGCCUAAUGAAUAUGACCCAGGAGUUCAAUGCUUUUGGACCAGGCCCUAACCUCCCCUCCCCU